CCUACGGGGUGCAGCAGUGGGGAAUAUUGGGCAAUGGGCGCAAGCCUGACCCAGCAACGCCGCGUGAAGGAAGAAGGCUUUCGGGUUGUAAACUUCUUUUAAGGGGGAAGAGGAGAAGACGGUACCCCUUGAAUAAGCCACGGCUAACGACGUGCCAGCAGCCGCGGUAAUACGUAGGUGGCAAGCUAUGUCCGGAUUUACUGGGUGUAAAGGGCGUGCAGCCGGGAGGACAAGUCAGAUGUGAAAUCCCGCGGCUCAACCGCGGAACUGCAUUUUAAACUGGUUUUCUUGAGUACCGGAGAGGUUAUCGGAAUUCCUUGUGUAGCGGUGAAAUGCGUAGAUAUAAGGAAGAACACCAGUGGCGAAGGCGGAUGACUGGACGGCAACUGACGGUGAGGCGCGAAAGCGUGGGGAGCAAACAGGAUUAGAUACCCUGGUAGUC
rnacentral:rRNA from 1 species